AGAAUGAACGCUGGCGGCGUGCUUAACACAUGCAAGUCGUAUGAGAACACCUCUGCUUGCAGAGGUUAGUAAAGUGGCGCACGGGUGAGUAAUGCGUGGGUAAUCUACCUUUGAAUUCGGGAUAACCCGCCGAAAGGCGAGCUAACACCGAAUAACAUUCAGAGUGCAUAUGCAUUUUGAAUCAAAAGUGGCCUUUAUAUGUAAGCUACUGUUUGGGGAUGAGCCCGCGUACCAUUAGCUAGUUGGUGGGGUAAAGGCCCACCAAGGCGACGAUGGUUAGCUGGUCUGAGAGGAUGAUUAGCCACACUGGAACUGAUAUAUGGUCCAGACUCCUACGGGAGGCAGCAGUGAGGAAUUUUGCGCAAUGGGGGAAACCCUGACGCAGCAACGCCGCGUGAGUGAUGAAGGCUUUUGGGUCGUAAAGCUCUGUCAAGUGGGAAGAAUCUGUACGAUAUUAAUAUUAUCGUGCACUGACGGUACCACUGAAGGAAGCACCGGUUAACUCCGUGCCAGUAGUUGUGGUAAUACGGGGGGUGCAAGUGUUAUUCGGAAUUAUUGGGCGUAAAGAGCGCGUAGGCGGUCUUGUAAGUCAGAUGUGAAAUACCGGGGCUUAACCCCGGAAGUGCAUUUGAUACUGCAGGACUUGAGUAUGGGAGAGGGAAGUGGAAUUCCUGGUGUAGAGGUGAAAUUUGUAGAUAUCAGGAGGAACACCGGUGGUGAAGGCGACUUCCUGGACCAAUACUGGCGCUGAGGCGCGAAGGCGUGGGGAGUAAACAGGAUUAGAUAUCCUGGUAGUCCACGCAGUAAACGUUGAUCACUAGGUGUAGCGGGUAUUGAUCCCUGCUGUGCCGCAGUUAAUGUAUUAAGUGAUCCGCCUGGGGAGUAUGAUCGCAAGGUUAAAACUCAAAGGAAUUGACGGGGGCCCGCAUAAGCGGUGGAGCAUGUGGUUUAAUUCGAUCAAUGCGAAGAACCUUACCUGGAUUUGACAUCCCGGGACCGCCCUUGAAAGAGGGAAAUGCCCUUUGGGGAGCCCGGUGAUAGGUGCUGUAUGGCUGUCGUCAGCUCGCGUUGUGAGAUGUUGGGUUAAGUCCCGCAACGAGCGUAACCCUUAUCUUUAGUUACCAUUAUUUGGUUGGGGAUUUUAAAGAUACUGCCCCGGUUAACGGGGAGGAAGGUGGGGAUGACGUCAAGUCCUCAUGGCCUUUAUGUCCAGGGCUACACACGUGCUACAAUGGACUGUAUAAAGGGUCGCAAUCCCGUGAGGGGGAGUUAAUCCCAUAAAGCAGUUCCUAGUUUGGAUUGGAGUCUGUAAUUUGACUUCAUGAAGUUGGAAUCGUUAGUAAUCGUGGAUUAGUAUGCCACGGUGAAUAUGUUCCCGGGCCUUGUAUAUACCGCCCGUCACACCAUGAGAGUUGGUUGUACCAGAGGUUGUUGGAUUAACCUGUAAGGGGGGUAAACACCUAAGGUAUGGCUGAUGAUUGGGGUGAAGUUGAAAUAAGGUA
rnacentral:rRNA from 1 species